GGGCGGAUAGCUCAGUAGGUAGAGCACCGGACUGAAAAUCCGGGUUGUCGGCGGUUCGAUUCCGCCUCCGCCCA
rnacentral:tRNA from 1 species